AUGAACGCUGACAGAAUGCUUAACACAUGCAAGUCAACUUGAAUUUGGGUUUUUAACUUAGGUUUGGGUGGCGGACGGGCGAGUAACGCGUAAAGAACUUGCCUCACAGCUAGGGACAACAUUUGGAAACGAAUGCUAAUACCUAAUAUUAUGAUAAUAGGGCAUCCUAUAAUUAUGAAAGCUAUAAGCGCUGUGAGAGAGCUUUGCGUCCCUUUAGCUAGUUGGAAAGGUAACGGCUCACCAAGGCGAUGAUGGGUAGCCGGCCUGAGAGGGUGAUCGGCCACAAGGGGACUGAGACACGGCCCUUACUCAUACGGGAGGCAGCAGUGGGGAAUAUUGGACAAUGGACCGAGAGUCUGAUACAGCAAUUCUGUGUGCAAGAUGAAGUUUUUCGGAAUGUAAAGUGCUUUCAGUUGGGAAGAAACAAAUGACGGUACCAACAGAAGAAGUGACGGCUAAAUACGUG
rnacentral:rRNA from 1 species